UAUCUCUUAGGUUGGCCACGAGUUGUGC
rnacentral:sRNA from 1 species